AUGAACGCUGGCGGCGUGCCUAAUACAUGCAAGUCGAGCGAACAGACGAGGAACUUGCUCCUCUGACGUUAGCGGCGGACGGGUGAGUAACACGUGGAUAACCUACCUAUAAGACUGGGAUAACUUCGGGAAACCGGAGCUAAUACCGGAUAAUAUAUUGAACCGCAUGGUUCAAUAGUGAAAGACGGUUUUGCUGUCACUUAUAGAUGGAUCCGCGCCGCAUUAGCUAGUUGGUAAGGUAACGGCUUACCAAGGCAACGAUGCGUAGCCGACCUGAGAGGGUGAUCGGCCACACUGGAACUGAGACACGGUCCAGACUCCUACGGGAGGCAGCAGUAGGGAAUCUUCCGCAAAGGGCGAAAGCCUGACGGAGCAACGCCGCGUGAGUGAUGAAGGUCUUCGGAUCGUAAAACUCUGUUAUUAGGGAAGAACAAAUGUGUAAGUAACUAUGCACGUCUUGACGGUACCUAAUCAGAAAGCCACGGCUAACUACGUG
rnacentral:rRNA from 1 species